AUGGAAGAAAAAACCACCAAAAUCUCAGAAGUUCCUCCUCUCCGCACUCUCUCUGAAUCAAUUCUUUGCACCUGUUUCACAACCGUAAUCUUCUCCUACAAUUCGUACCAUCUUCAUCUCCCUCAAGGGACCUUUGAUCUUUUUUGGCAACAAAAAAGAACAUCUCACCUUCAAUCUGCAAAUUUGAUGCACAAUAAGGCUGCAACAACUCAGAAAUCUAAGCAAAGAGAUGUAGAAGGAGAGGAUAGAGCCGAGAGAGGAAGAGAAACUCAAUACUUGAAACUGACACCGAAUCGAAGCAGUGUGUGA